AUGGAGCCGACCUUGAAAUACCACCCUUUAAUGUUUGAUGUUCUAACGUUGACCCGUAAUCCGGGUUGCGGACAGUGUCUGGUGGGUAGUUUGACUGGGGCGGUCUCCUCCUAAAGAGUAACGGAGGAGCACGAAGGUUGGCUAAUCCUGGUCGGACAUCAGGAGGUUAGUGCAAUGGCAUAAGCCAGCUUGACUGCGAGCGUGACGGCGCGAGCAGGUGCGAAAGCAGGUCAUAGUGAUCCGGUGGUUCUGAAUGGAAGGGCCAUCGCUCAACGGAUAAAAGGUACUCCGGGGAUAACAGGCUGAUACCGCCCAAGAGUUCAUAUCGACGGCGGUGUUUGGCACCUCGAUGUCGGCUCAUCACAUCCUGGGGCUGAAGUAGGUCCCAAGGGUAUGGCUGUUCGCCAUUUAAAGUGGUACGCGAGCUGGGUUUAGAACGUCGUGAGACAGUUCGGUCCCUAUCUGCCGUGGGCGCUGGAGAACUGAGGGGGGCUGCUCCUAGUACGAGAGGACCGGAGUGGACGCAUCACUGGUGUUCGGGUUGUCAUGC
rnacentral:rRNA from 1 species